CCAAAAGAUGGUGAACUAUGCCUGGGCAGGGCGAAGCCAAAGGAAACUCUAGUGGAGGUCCGUAGCAGUCCUGACAUGCAAAUCAGUCUUCUGACCUGGGUAUAGGAGCGAAGGAUUAAUCGAAGCACCUAUAGUAG
rnacentral:ncRNA from 1 species